GACGAACGCUGGCGGCGUGCUUAACACAUGCAAGUCGUACGGUAAGGCCCUUUCGUGGUUACGCGAGUGUCGAACGGGUGCGUAACACUUAAGUAACCUGCCCACAACUUUGGGAUAACGCUAGGAAACUGGUGCGAAUACUGGAAAUGUACCCCUGCUGCAUGGUGGGGGUUGGAGAGCUAGGGGGGUUGUGGAUUGACUCGCGGCCUAUCGGCUGGUUUGUUGGGUAGUUGCCUACCAAGGGGGCGACGGGUAGGCGGCCUGAGAGGGUGACCGGCGACAUUGGGACUGCGAGAGGGCGCAGACGCGUACGGGAGGCAGUAGAGGAGAAUAUUGCAGAAUGGGCGCGAGCGAGAUGCGGAAGCGCCGCGUGCGGGAUGACGGGCUGCGGGUUGUAAACCGCUGUCAGCAGGGACGAAGCUUUUUGUGACGGUACCUGCAGAAGAAGCACCGGCUAACUACGUG
rnacentral:rRNA from 1 species